CGAGCCGCGGAAGCACACGAAACUCCCACGCGCUUAUUGCUCUUCGGUCGUCAGAAGCUCAAUUAAAAUUCCCACGGAAAUUUCUCAUCCGCCCGGGACACUUAUCCCGUCGUCGUACGACACACUAACGCGUUGUGGAAUUUCUCUCGCCGCUAUUUUUCUUCUCGCCGCAAUUUCAAGCGGGCGGACCUUAGCGUCGUUUCUAAGAAACAAAUGGUGAAACUUGGACAGCCCGUGUCUCCGUUCUCGCCAGGGUAACUUGGCGCGUCGCGUCGGUGAAAAGGCGCGCGUGAGAGAGCCGAAGAAAGCUCUCUUCUUCUCUCGAGAAGCUAUGCAAAUUUCAUUUCAAGAGCGCCGUCUUAACGGCCGAAGCCUUAAAGGGGACUUGCCCCGUUCGCUCUAAUCGCGGCCGUGUCCUUAAUUGGCGGAGCGUACACAACGCAAGUGAGUAAAAACCCGGUUGUUUGCGAAACUCCGAGAUGCACGUUAAGCGCCGUAUAAUUCGCUCCUUAAUGCCCGAUUAUCAUGCAUUAUCCUGGUGCACGUGCGGAUGCACGACGCACGCGCAAAGCUGAAUGAAAUUAUUAUCGGGAUAUCUACCAGUUUUGUAGCCUGUUCCGGCGGAUGACUCGGGGUUGCGUUAUCGGUUUAUUCUCUCAUAAGUAACGCCGCUAUUAUGCCAGCUCGUUUGUAUAUCGAGAAGAUUCGAUUAAAGUUUGCGUAAUCGUGGCGUCAGUUUAUCAAAGGUAUAGCUACUAGGAUUAUAGGAGACAAGACGAAAAUUAACGUUAUGAUGUACUCGAUUGAUAUAAUUAAUAAUUUGUAAUGCGAAAAAUAAUAUCGCGAUUGUUAACAAGUAACUUGUUAAACGGUGAUGAGUUGGAACGGAACUUGCAAUUUCGUAUUAUCGCGGAACACGUCUCGCGCCGCAACCUCGUUAACUAUCCCGAGACCACGAAAUUCGAUUAACGUAUUCGUUCGUAAUGUAUCCGCUUCGGUGUAAAUCCAAAGCCCGUUUACAACUACUGACAACUUCGAUGUAGAUAGCGAUACAAGGAGCUAACUCGCUACAUGAUAUACUUCGGAAUUAUUAUGGAGUAUUAAGAACUGAUGUUUCUCUAAUAGUCCUAACAACUCUACUUGGCUGAUUAAGCCGCAGGGGAAUCCGCAAUUAUACGAGAUUUGGGGUGCGUACCUUACUCGUGUAUUCUAUUCGCGUGCUUUACACGUAUGCUUUAUUCGCGUGCUCUACUCGUUUACCCUAAUUAAAUACAUCGACAUUUCUGCAAUUGCACACCAAUUGGACCUAUCUUCUGGCCACACUUGGCUCCAGCCAAAGAUUAGAAAAUGAGAUGAACACUAAUCGAAUACAUCGACAUUCCUGCUAUAUUGCACAUUAAAGAAGAGAAAUUUCUUUUAUUGUGUCGGCUAAUUAUCGUCGCCGGCAGAGGAGCGUAAAUAUUUUACAUUGACGAUCGUGCGAUUUUACGAUCGUUUCUUGAACGUUGAUUUUAAUAUAUAUUUAAUUUAACUAACAAUAAGA